rnacentral:rRNA from 1 species
ACUCCUACGGGAGGCAGCAGUGGGGAAUAUUGCACAAUGGGGAAACCCUGAUGCAGCCAUGCCGCGUGUGUGAAGAAGGCCUUCGGUUGUAAAGCACUUUCAGUAGGGAGGAAGGUAGUGUAGUUAACACCUGCAUUAUUUGUACGUUACCUACAAGAAGAAGCACCGGCUAACUCCGUGCCAGCAGCCGCGGUAAUACGGAGGGUGCGAGCGUUAAUCGGAAUUACUGGGCGUAAAGCGCAUGCAGGCGGCCUGUUAAGUCAGAUGUGAAAGCCCGGGGCUUAACCUCGGAAUUGCAUUUGAAACUGGCAGGCUAGAGUCUUGUAGAGGGGGUAGAAUUUCAGGUGUAGCGGUGAAAUGCGUAGAGA